UUGUAGACCCAGCAAUGUUGUUUGGAACGGAAUACAAGGACCGCUGAAAUCUUUGAAAGCUGAUCAUACCAUUAAAGCUCUCAGAUGUAGAUGGUCUCUAUCCAGUGAGACAAAGAAAUUGCCAUCUUCCCCCAAAAAAAAAAAAAAAAAUUGUCAACUGUCCUCCUAAGCUUCAGAAGAAGUGUCUGACAAUGUGUGCAGUGUUGGUGCAUCCAGAAGAAAUAGCCUAAAAAACAGUCCAAUGUUUAUUUUAGUUUCUUGUAUGGACCGAAAGAUAUGUAAUUUGUGGGUAUUGUAUCAUUUAAUAUGUGAGAGCUGAAUUAUGUGUAUGUAAUGCAGUAUUUGUAAAAGUGGUUUUGAAAUGGAUAAAAGGUUAUAGGUUUUUCCA